GAUGAACGCUGGCGGAGUGCCUAAUACAUGCAAGUCGAACGAGUGGCGGACGGGUGAGUAAUGUCUGGGAAACUGCCUGAUGGGGGGGGAUAACUACUGGAAACGGUAGCUAAUACCGCAUACCAUCGGAUGUGCCCGGAUGGGAUUGGCUAGUAGGUGGGGUAACGGCUCACCUAGGCGACGAUCCCUAGCUGGUCUGAGAGGAUGACCAGCAACACUGGAACUGAGACACGGUCCAGACUCCUACGGGAGGCAGCAGGGGGUAAUAUUGCACAAUUGGCGCAAGCCUGAUGGAGCCAUGCCUCGUGUAUGAAGAAGGCCUUCGGGUUGUAAAGUACUUUCAGCGGGGAGGCGUUACCCGCAGAAUAAGCACCGGCUAACUCCGUGCCAGCAGCCGCGGUAAUUC
rnacentral:rRNA from 1 species